GGUUAAGCGACUAAGCGUACACGGUGGAUGCCCUGGCAGUCAGAGGCGAUGAAGGACGUGCUAAUCUGCGAAAAGCGUCGGUAAGGUGAUAUGAACCGUUACAGCCGGCGAUGUCCGAAUGGGGAAACCCAGUGCAAUUCGUUGCACUAUCGUUAACUGAAUACAUAGGUUAACGAGGCGAACCGGGGGAACUGAAACAUCUAAGUACCCCGAGGAAAAGAAAUCAACCGAGAUUCCCCCAGUAGCGGCGAGCGAACGGGGAGCAGCCCAGAGUCUGAAUCAGCUUGUGUGUUAGUGGAACGGUCUGGAAAGUCCGACGGUACAGGGUGAUAGUCCCGUACACCAAAAUGCACAGGCUGUGAACUCGAAGAGUAGGGCGGGACACGUGGUAUCCUGUCUGAAUAUGGGGGGACCAUCCUCCAAGGCUAAAUACUCCUGACUGACCGAUAGUGAACCAGUACCGUGAGGGAAAGGCGAAAAGAACCCCGGCGAGGGGAGUGAAAAAGAACCUGAAACCGUGUACGUACAAGCAGUGGGAGCACCUUCGGGUGUGACUGCGUACCUUUUGUAUAAUGGGUCAGCGACUUAUAUUCUGUAGCAAGGUUAACCGUAUAGGGGAGCCGCAGGGAAACCGAGUCUUAACUGGGCGUUAAGUUGCAGGGUAUAGACCCGAAACCCGGUGAUCUAGCCAUGGGCAGGUUGAAGGUUGGGUAACACUAACUGGAGGACCGAACCGACUAAUGUUGAAAAAUUAGCGGAUGACUUGUGGCUGGGGGUGAAAGGCCAAUCAAACCGGGAGAUAGCUGGUUCUCCCCGAAAGCUAUUUAGGUAGCGCCUCGUGAAUUCAUCUUCGGGGGUAGAGCACUGUUUCGGCUAGGGGGUCAUCCCGACUUACCAACCCGAUGCAAACUACGAAUACCGAAGAAUGUUAUCACGGGAGACACACGGCGGGUGCUAACGUCCGUCGUGAAGAGGGAAACAACCCAGACCGCCAGCUAAGGUCCCAAAGUCAUGGUUAAGUGGGAAACGAUGUGGGAAGGCACAGACAGCCAGGAUGUUGGCUUAGAAGCAGCCAUCAUUUAAAGAAAGCGUAAUAGCUCACUGGUCGAGUCGGCCUGCGCGGAAGAUGUAACGGGGCUAAACCAUGCACCGAAGCUGCGGCAGCGACACUAUGUGUUGUUGGGUAGGGGAGCGUUCUGUAAGCCUGCGAAGGUGUGCUGUGAGGCAUGCUGGAGGUAUCAGAAGUGCGAAUGCUGACAUAAGUAACGAUAAAGCGGGUGAAAAGCCCGCUCGCCGGAAGACCAAGGGUUCCUGUCCAACGUUAAUCGGGGCAGGGUGAGUCGACCCCUAAGGCGAGGCCGAAAGGCGUAGUCGAUGGGAAACAGGUUAAUAUUCCUGUACUUGGUGUUACUGCGAAGGGGGGACGGAGAAGGCUAUGUUAGCCGGGCGACGGUUGUCCCGGUUUAAGCAUGUAGGCUGGUUGUCCAGGCAAAUCCGGAUAAUCAAGGCUGAGGUGUGAUGACGAGGCACUACGGUGCUGAAGUAACAAAUGCCCUGCUUCCAGGAAAAGCCUCUAAGCAUCAGGUAACAUCAAAUCGUACCCCAAACCGACACAGGUGGUCAGGUAGAGAAUACCAAGGCGCUUGAGAGAACUCGGGUGAAGGAACUAGGCAAAAUGGUGCCGUAACUUCGGGAGAAGGCACGCUGGUGUGUAGGUGAAGCCCCUGCGGGUGGAGCUGAGACCAGUCGAAGAUACCAGCUGGCUGCAACUGUUUAUUAAAAACACAGCACUGUGCAAACACGAAAGUGGACGUAUACGGUGUGACGCCUGCCCGGUGCCGGAAGGUUAAUUGAUGGGGUUAUCCGUAAGGAGAAGCUCUUGAUCGAAGCCCCGGUAAACGGCGGCCGUAACUAUAACGGUCCUAAGGUAGCGAAAUUCCUUGUCGGGUAAGUUCCGACCUGCACGAAUGGCGUAAUGAUGGCCAGGCUGUCUCCACCCGAGACUCAGUGAAAUUGAACUCGCUGUGAAGAUGCAGUGUACCCGCGGCAAGACGGAAAGACCCCGUGAACCUUUACUAUAGCUUGACACUGAACAUUGAGCCUUGAUGUGUAGGAUAGGUGGGAGGCUUUGAAGCGUGGACGCCAGUCUGCGUGGAGCCAACCUUGAAAUACCACCCUUUAAUGUUUGAUGUUCUAACGUUGGCCCCUUACCGGGGUUGCGGACAGUGUCUGGUGGGUAGUUUGACUGGGGCGGUCUCCUCCCAAAGCGUAACGGAGGAGCACGAAGGUUAGCUAAUCCUGGUCGGACAUCAGGAGGUUAGUGCAAUGGCAUAAGCUAGCUUGACUGCGAGCGUGACGGCGCGAGCAGGUGCGAAAGCAGGUCAUAGUGAUCCGGUGGUUCUGAAUGGAAGGGCCAUCGCUCAACGGAUAAAAGGUACUCCGGGGAUAACAGGCUGAUACCGCCCAAGAGUUCAUAUCGACGGCGGUGUUUGGCACCUCGAUGUCGGCUCAUCACAUCCUGGGGCUGAAGUAGGUCCCAAGGGUAUGGCUGUUCGCCAUUUAAAGUGGUACGCGAGCUGGGUUUAGAACGUCGUGAGACAGUUCGGUCCCUAUCUGCCGUGGGCGCUGGAGAAUUGAGGGGGGCUGCUCCUAGUACGAGAGGACCGGAGUGGACGCAUCACUGGUGUUCGGGUUGUCAUGCCAAUGGCACUGCCCGGUAGCUAAAUGCGGAAGAGAUAAGUGCUGAAAGCAUCUAAGCACGAAACUUGCCCCGAGAUGAGUUCUCCCUGAGACUUUAAGUCUCCUGAAGGAACGUUGAAGACGACGACGUUGAUAGGCCGGGUGUGUAAGCGCAGCGAUGCGUUGAGCUAACCGGUACUAAUGAACCGUGAGGCUUAACCUU
rnacentral:rRNA from 1 species